rnacentral:rRNA from 1 species
AUACGGAGGGGGCGAGCGUUAUUCGGAAUCAUUGGGCGUAAAGGGCGCGUAGGCGGCCUGACAAGUCAGGGGUGAAAUCCCUCGGCUCAACCGAGGAACUGCCUCUGAAACUGUCAGGCUUGAGGCCGGGAGAGGGUAGUGGAAUUCCCAGUGUAGCGGUGAAAUGCGUAGAUAUUGGGAGGAACACCAGUGGCGAAGGCGGCUACCUGGACCGGUUCUGACGCUGAGGCGCGAAAGUGUGGGGAGCAAACAGGAUUAGAAACCCCAGUAGUCC